rnacentral:rRNA from 1 species
CCUACGGGGGACAGCAGUGGGGAAUAUUGCACAAUGGGGGAAACCCUGAUGCAGCGACGCCGCGUGAGUGAAGAAGUAUUUCGGUAUGUAAAGCUCUAUCAGCAGGGAAGAAGAACGACGGUACCUGACUAAGAAGCCCCGGCUAAAUACGUGCCAGCAGCCGCGUUAAUACGUAGGGGGCAAGCGUUAUCCGGAUUUACUGGGUGUAAGGGGAGCGUAGACGGCUGGUCAAGUCUGAAGUGAAAGCCCAGGGCUCAACCCUGGGACUGCAUUGGAAACUGUGGAGCUAGAGUGCUGGAGAGGUAAGUGGAAUUCCUAGUGUAGCGGUGAAAUGCGUAGAUAUUAGGAGGAACACCAGUGGCGAAGGCGGCUUACUGGACAGUAACUGACGUUGAGGCUCGAAAGCGUGGGGAGCAAACAGGAUUAGAUACCCUGGUAGUC